GUAAAUGGCAGCGGCACUCCGCGUGCCCACAUACGCCGCCCGCGAAUUUUAGUCUAAAUGGCACAAGUGGAUUUUCACGAAUUUUAAGUGGCAUACGUGGAUAGAUCCGUGAAGUCCACGAUUUCCAGCGGCUGACCGCGUUUUUUUUUUCCCUCGAAGGAAAAAAGAAAACUCCCCAUCCCCUUCGCUAUCCCGUCGCCCUCCUCCUCUGCGCCGCCACUCGCCGCCUCCUCCUCCGAGUAUCCUCCGCGCCGCCCCCAACCAUCUCCUCCGCGUCUCCUCCACGCCGCCCCCGACCACCUCCUCCGCGUCGACAUGUUCUAGGUCCUCCUCCUCCGCAGCAGAUGGAUCUGGCGGAGACUACCUUCCCCGUCUCCUCCACUGCGACCGUGGCCGCUCCGGCACCAGCAGGGCCGCACAGCGGCGGGAGCAAGUCCGUGCUCGACGGGAUGGCUGGCCCAUCCAUGAAGCCGGUUGAGCUCGAAGAAUUGGCUGGCUCAUCCAAGCUGUAAUAGGGAUGCUCUGGUCAACCCUGAGGACAAAAUUCAGUGCUAAGUGGCGCUCAUUUUAUUCACAAAAUCUCUUUGAGUUCAUUUUGUCAUGUUUGCAAAUUGUUUUACCGUAUUCCAUGUUCGGAGAAUUCUGCAAUGAAGUUCACUAUACUUGUUAAUUUUUGCAGACUUCCUUGUUCAAUGAAGACUCCUAUUCAUCUGCUGAUGCUGCUCCCUGGUUGCACUUCAAGAUGUAGAUUCAUGUCAAGUUUUCAGUAGUUCGAAUGAUGCUCCAUUGCACAAGUUUCUGUAAUUAUAUCAGGACAAUACCGGUCUAGACAAGGUUAAUGCAGCAGUAUUAUGUCAGGAUAGAAGCUGGACCACUUCUAAGUGUAGAGCAAUGAACUAUCAGAGCUCAAGAAGACACCGUCAACAAGUCCAACCUUCCUCUUGAUUUCUGAUUGCCACCAUUUUCAUUAUUUCUAGUUCAGAAUCUUCCUUGUUGAGCUUUGAGUGAAGAAGCACAAAGUAGAUCUUCCAAAAAUAUGCUUCAUUCAUAUUGGAAUACAACUCCUCUGUUUUAGGUUUGCAUGCUACUUACAAGCUAUUCUUGCUGGCUUUUCUACUUUUAAUAUUGUGCUCUAUUAUUUAAGCUGGUGCCUCUUUUACCUAUCCAAAGUUCAGAGAAUUCUGCAAUGAAGUUCAGUGAUA